CAGUAUAGAUCUAUACGCAAACUCACGCUCUCCCUCCAAGAGACUCUGGCUACAACUCGGGCCAUGACAUUGAAGGCAUGCUCCGAUACAGUGGAUCACAAUUAUGUCAACAUAUUUAUGUAUAUGUAAUGUACUGAAAUGUUCUACGUGUGCUAGCUGUAAUAUGUGUUCUCUCUCUAUCUAGCAAGUAUAGUAAUGUACUGUAAUGUUCUAGCUGUAAUGUAUGCUCUCUCUAUCUAGCAAGUAUAGUAAUGUACUGUAAUGUUCUAGAAAGUAUUGACUCAUGAAUGAACUAACUCAUUGUAUGAUAUCGCAUUCUAGUAAUAGUUCUAGUAUUUUCCUAAACUACCUAUAUGGUAGUUUACUAGUAAUCUAACUGGUACGUAUGGACAUGGAUGUAUACCCUUGCUACCCAAGGGAAUUGGACGAACUGGAAGGACCUUUAUGAAUAUAUAAGUACACAUUAUAUAUAACUAAUAUUUAAACGACCUUCGGACAGUACCAGAUAUCCCACCAGACCACAUCCAAAUCGAGGAAAAAGAAAUAGGCUGGAUAGCCUUCCUAAGUCCUUUCAACAUUUCUUAUAUAACUAUACAUAUAUAGGCAUGCAAUUUAUAAUAUAAAAGCAUAAAAUAAGUUUUGUAAAACCUUUGAACAUAAUUAUUAUCUAAGAAAAGAUCGAUUUGAUGUCAAUCUAUAAAACGGUUUGAAGGCAUGGAUUUGAUAAAACAGUUUAAUUAUAAAUAAACAUUUAUUGGAAACACCAUUGUAAAUGAGUUUGAAAUGGAACAUACAGAGUAAAAUGUACAGUUUAAUAAGGAGUUUUAAACAUAUGAAGUGUUUAUAAAAAUCAUUUGAAAAAACUGUUUGGUAAAACGGCUAAUGAGUAGCCAAUCAUUUAAAUGUGGUUUAUUAAUCACAAGUGAUUAAUAUAAUAACUAGCAUGAUUAUACUUGUAUCCCCCCAUAAAACAUUUCAAAACAGUUAAAACAUUGAUUAAGGGGUAUAAACUCACCUGUUGUGGGGGAUACGGAUGAACUGAAGAGGUAGGACUGCUAGGUGUCAAGUGAAGACUUUAGACACACACAAUGGUCCUAAUUACAUAUGAAGACAUAUGUAUAUAAACAAUUAGUGAUUAUAACACUAAUUAAACAUGUAUAAACAUCCUAAUGCGAGGAAAACACUUUGGUCAAGUGCUAGGAGGCUAAUGGGUUGCAACAAAGGAGUGCAAGACCUUAUACGGAAGUGUAUGGUUAAAAGACCAUGUGUGUUGGAGUUUACGGCCCAAGGGAGUAAAAUCCUGUCCGUAAACUCUCUAUUGGGGCACAAAAUGAAGCUCAAAGCUAUUACAACUUAAUUGGUGAAGUGUUUCUAGGCUUAAGCAAGUGUAUGUGUGGGUUUAAGGCCUUAAAAUGGCCUUGCUUAAUGUUCACGGCCCUCGGACCACUCCCCAUGAGUUUACGGCCGUAAACUAAUGGUAAGGAGUACCAUUUGAUUUUUUGAGGUUCCUAUCUCAUUGGUGAUUUGUUCUACGAUAAGUUCUAGCCAUGUGGAAGCAUUAGGGGCACAAUAUCACCCCUUUAUAGAGUUUACGGCCUAAGGACCAAUCCUUAUGAGCUUACAGCCGUACAUUCUAUGGGAACAUGGUUUCUUGGGUGCUUAAGGUCCUUAACAUUUCAAGGAUAUGAUCUAAGUUGGGUUCUAGGAAUAAGGAAGGAGUUAGGGUGUCAUUUGCCCCAUUUAUAGGGGUUUACGGCCCAAGAACUUGUCUUGGCCGUAAACUCCUUUGUCCCUGUGUUUCCUUAUGAUUUCUAGGCUAUAAACACAUUAGGGUACAUGUCUAAAUUAGUCUUUUGGCUUAAGGAAGGCUUUUAGGGCAUUUUGGCACAUAAAAAUGGAGUUCACGGCCCAAGAACUUCCUUGGCCGUGAACUCACUUUUAGUCUUGAUUCUUAAUUGUUUUGUGGUCUAAACAUGUAAUGGUAGUUCCUAGGUUGAGUUCCAAGGCUUUGAGGGACAUUAGGUACACUUUGGCCCUUAUAAAGGAGUUUACUCCCCAAGGUGCUCUUGGGCGGUAAACUUACAGAUCUUAGUGUUUUCCUAUGAUUUCUAGUGUAUUAAGCAUAUAUGAAGCUUUAAAACAACACUAGAUAGAUAUACUCACUUUCCGGAACGAAAUUCCGAAGAUCCUUGAGAGAGAAUUCGGCUUUUCUCUAAUUAGAAUUGGAAAUAAUGAAUAAAUAUGGUUCAGAUUUCUAUAUAUAGUCCUGGGAUUUUUGGCAGAAAAUAUUUUUAUUCCGGGAUUGAACCCUAAUAUCCUAGAGUUUUGGAAUAACAGUGUUGCACAAAACCCUAGUGCAUCCACUCUCCUGAUAUCUCCUUAAGUGCUAAUCCUGAAAUACUCAAACUUAUACCCAAAGUCUGGAAUUUCACUGUAACUGUUCUAACUUCUAUUGGCUUGAUAUGCUUUGUUCAGAAUGGAAAUUUUGGGUUGUCACACCAUCCCCCUGUUGAAGGGAAUUUCGUCCCGAAAUUAGAAUUUAGGUAAGGAAGUAGGUAUGAAUGAUCGAGUCAUGAGGAGGAAACUUCCUAAUCGAUUGGUUCUAACACUCCUAGGUGAAAUCGGGUUCUCGGUUGGUAUCCGAACGAACCUUCACUAAUGGGCGACGACAUUGCUUCGUCCGCUUGACCUCUCGGUCGAGGGUCACUGCGGUUCUAAUACGAAGGCGAGGAUCUCGACGAGUGGACUUACAAGAGUACUAACAGAAAGGUACGGUUUAACGAUCGAGACGCGAAGAGUAAAUGUACGUUACUGAGUUCGCGGAGUAGGUCUAGUAUGUGCGAGGUACAGGACCGAUUCUGGUAAGAAUCUCGGAGGUCCUAACUAUGUUGGAUUUAGCUUUCCACACGAUACGAAGCGUAUUAAGCCAUUCCCGGAAUGAGUUUUUCCUAAAGAAUUUGGUCUUUCACUUGGAAUUCCAAAGGUUCUUUCUCUUUCUAAACUUCCUAGUCAAUGGCCAUCCCUUGCUGGGUCAAAGUCGAAAGGGUUUCUGUAAUUUGCGAGGAGUUCUGAAUGAACUAUGAAAGUAGGUCUGUAAGACCUAGAAUUUGGCGAAUUUCUGUCGGCGUCUCUGGCGUCGACAAAUUCUCAACGGUUUUGACAAAUUGUAAGAGUACUCAAAAUUUCCCACAGCACUAAUAGUGUGUCCUAGAAAUUUGACUCUUCAAUUUCAAAACUCAUGCUUAGAGAACUUCGUGAAAGUUCCUCUGAAGGUAAUGUUUCCAUGGGUUCCUUCUUACUACGAGGGUAGAUAAGUAAGUCAUUACAUGGAGAAUGACGAACUGAACCAAGUAAGAAAGACGGACUCUAUUCAUUAAACUCAUGAAUGCUUCGGGCGUAUUGGUCCUAUCCGAGGGGUAUCACUACGGACUUGAAGUGUCCGCAUCGAGUUCGGAAGGUAGUCUUCCGGACAUCCUUCCCUAACACUCGAACUGGUGAUAUUCGGAUCUCAGGUCCAUUUCUGAAAGUAAUUCUUUCCUUGCAUUUGCUAAACUAAUUCAUCUAUGCGAGGCAGAGACAACGAUUUCUAACGGAAACAUCUGGACGGAGCCCUCGAUAGCCGAGGCGAUCUCAGGUCCAUUUCUGAAAGUAAUUCUUUCCUUGCAUUUGCUAAACUAAUUCAUCUAUGCGAGGCAGAGACAACGAUUUCUAACGGAAACAUCUGGACGGAGCCCUCGAUAGCCGAGGCACAUACAAUGCAAUCCGUCGAUCUCUGGAAGAAUAUGAUCGGGGUUCUCCAGGGUGAGAAGCCUAGUCUUCUAAUUCUAUUUCUGUGUAGUUUGCUAAGUUGUCCGGGCUGUUCUUGUAUCUCCGUAGGUGUUUAGACUGUAGGGCGAUCGGUUUACAGGAGUCGUAUUGGGUUCUAAGUUUGUUCACAUGACGAUGCGAUUACUCGUAGGCUUGGGCAGUUCUCCGUCCUGAAGUUCAUAUUAGAAUUCAUACAUGGUUUCACAAUCACAAUCUCGUGUAUACGAGUCGUAUAUAAUUAAGAUUGAAAAGGUAGUCGAAUAACUGAUUCUUCUUUAAGCUCACAUCCCAUCGGGGAAAAAGAAGUUAAAGUGGAAUCAUCAAUUCUAAACCUGUAGAACCUUGAUUAUAUAUCACUCUUAUGUAUACAUUCCUCAGUGAUAGGUCAACCGCAUGAAUCCUUGGGUUAAACUUGACGUACUGCAUGAGUGGUACUUCGGGGAUUUCUUCGGAAAAGAGAAUAACUAAGAGGUACUCCACGCAUGAGUACUUCGGUGUUCUGAAAUGACAGUUUCGCUAAAAAGAUGUUUACUGAUAAGGAGAUGUACAUAUGAAGCUGUUUUUGUGAGGAUCAAAUUGAAUCGAGUUGUAUGAUAAUGUCGGAAUCAUAUUGAAACUUGAAAACAUUAGAUUUGAACAUAAGACGUUUACAGACAAAACACAACUGUGCAACCAUCAACAGAGUUACAAUACUUUAGACUUACAACAAGACCAUUGUUGCGAAUAAUGUAUACUACAAAAGACAAGUAUACGCAGCACGAGCAUCCCUAUACAGACAAGAUCUCGCAAAAGGUAAGACUCUAGUUGCACUAGUUUUGGAUAGUUUAUAUGUUUGUUACAACGAAACGCCUAAAUUACAUUAACGAGGGCCCGACAUUGUUUCUCCCGCAGCUGUGAUCCUGAGAAUCUUCCCAUCAGCACCCGAGUUCUUUGCUAUCGGGCAAUCUUUCUUGAAGUGUCCAAUUUCACCGCAUUGGUGACAUAUCUGGACAACACCAAUAUUGGUGGUGGAAGUGAGGUGUUUAGCCAGUGUUAUGUGGACACGAGUGCCUUCCUCAUUACUCCACCUUGGAAAUUGCUUCCUAAAGCGUUCGGCUUUAUAACUACUCUCGUGUGUAGGGUUAGUCCCAAUGAAAGGGACUUGAGUGAUGGGUCGUGCCGGUGCUCCACAGUUACGAGCAUGGUGCCCUAUGUUUAGGCAGUUGCAACAUUGCAUCUCAUGGCAAGCCCCAUGAUGAUGGAAACUACACUUAUCACACUUCGGGAGUUUUCCCUCGUAAGGCCUGCUCGGUACGAGAAUGGAAGGGGUUUCUACUUGUUGUUGUUGCAUGGCAAGUUUUUGGGAUUUCUUGCGUUCUUUCUGGGCUUGACGCUUUUGUUUCUUGUUCUCUGUCUUUCGGCUUUGCGAGCCUAUGACUGUUACUAUUUGGCAACUUCCUGGAUGGAUACCACGAUUGGAAACUUCAAUCCCAUCAUCAGCAUUGAUUGUGCUGAUAGCGCUACGGUGCGCAAGGACAACUGUCACGGCAGCCAUCACGGCAGUUGUAACUGCGGUUUGAAAGGUAGCGGCGUCCAUAGGAAAGGUAGAGGUUUCGUUGUUCGACUGAUUGCUUCCGGAUGACAACAUGAUUCUGUAACACGAAAGAUAAGGAUUUUGUGAGCGAUUCUGGAUGACCCUAGAUGUACAUCGAUUGCUCAAACAAAGAUUAAGAGUAUGUUCUCGAAAGGUUGACCUACAUCCCUAUGAUGCAGUCCUAGUACGGAUUGGAGGUAUGAUCGUGAGGGUUUGACCUACAUCCCUAUGAUGCAGUCCUAGUACGAAAUGGAAGUGAGUUUGUAGAAUGGUCUCAAGACGUUUGUCGUUCAAGCCGAGGUAUCGUGGGUUGGUGAAUAACAGGAUCCAACCACUAAAUGAGACUUGGAAAUGUCUCCGAAGCUAAAUUACUAUAGUCCAAUGACUUGACUAAAGUAGGUUUUCGAUAGACUCCAAUGAAAGUAUGAUGAGAGUACUUGAAUAAAGAAGGACACGGAAGUUAGCCGACUGUCAAAAUCUUUGAUAUUCAUGACGUAAAAGUUCAGGUGAAUGACCUUGUAAAAGGUCUUACAUCAUAUCCAGAGAAGAUAGUUCAUGACAGCAUAAGGACCUAACCAAAAGUACUUACAGUACAAGAUAGUUUCAUAGAAAAUGCCACAUCGGGAAAAGACAGAAAAAUGAUUUCUUCCUAACAAGGAAAAUAAAGUAAGGCAUCUACUACUGGCGACGGUCAUCCCUCUGGUGAACUCUCAGUUCAGCCAGUUGAUGUUCCACGUCAAGUAGGUGUCUUUCGUACACCCUCUGGCGUACUCGGAGUUCUAUGACUUCGGCUCGUGAUUCAGCCAGUGCUUGCAGCAGGGUUUCAUGGUUUGUCUCUGAUCUCUCGCGAGCAUCUUCUAGACGAAUGGUGCGGAGGGUAUGCAUUCUCGCAUCGGCGACAACUUCGGUGAUCUGAUGUAGGGUUGUCCCGCCUUGAAUCUCAUUUCGGGCCACUCUGCGGACCAAGAUUGGCAAGAUUCUGUCUGCUGAGUCCCCAUUGCUCAGGUCGUAGAAGCUUCGGUCACCAUUAAAUGGCAUGGGCUGGUUUUGUCCUUGGCUCCAUGUUUCCAAGCAUUCCACCCACUCAGGCGUCGAGCCAUGAAAAUCCGGACGAGAGUUAGGAAUUGGAACGGGAGCUUCCUGUGGUAGGUUCUCAACCUCGGGUUCGGAGUUACCAUCAUCUGUGAGGUCUUCAUCAUGGUGAUCAUUGAAAGGGAUUGGAUGAUCAUUUCCUGGUUCUUCUCCAAACNCUAGCAAUGACUUCGUUCGAAAGAUACAGGUUGCCGUGGGGAUGGAGUCCAGCCAUGUUAUCUAUGCGAGAAUUGGGGUAAGAAAAUAAUUAUUAGACGAACUAUCUAGAUAAUUAUUUAGAAAAUCUUCAUUAGUUACAUCGCUAUUUGUGAAGUGCAUACCAGUUAUAUGUAAUCGAAACAGGAUAGGCCUUCGAAUAUGUGACCUUAACUCCAAAUUCACACAGAAUAGGGGUAAAGUAAAAUUUUCACAUAUUCUAAGUCUAUAACAUCCUAAUUACAUAUAGCCUUAGUGUAUCCACUUAGAAACUAUCAACUUAGUAAUGAAGAUCGCAUUUUAGUUCUCAAGUAUAAAGAACUUAUAGUAACACCAAAUACUCCUAUAGUAUUUUUAAGUUUAAUGUUAUGUUCUACUGUUCUCAUUGUGCUAGGGUUGGUAAGAUUUUAGAUUUGUUGCAGCCAUAGAACUACACUUAGGCACAUGCUAGUCAACCCUUGGAUAAUAUAGUUGAUCAAUCUAUAUCUUCCUAGUUUUGACUAUAUGUCUCUAAGUCCACCUGUGUUGCCCAACAAUCGUAAUUCUUUUGUACUGUCCUAGUGACACUGAUUUUAGCAUGAAUGCAGCAUGUAUACUUAAUUAAAUAUUUUAUUAUUGAAAGUAUAAACUCUUGGUCAGAGUAUUUUUAAUCGCAUUGUAUUUAUAGUUUGUACAUAUUUUAUGGGUUGAUAUACUUAAUUCACUAUAAACAAUGCUCUGAUACCACUCUGUCACACCCCAAAACCAAGAAUGGCGGAAAAGUUCUGGGGCGGAGGACGUCAUGUACAGUAUCACAACAACAAAAAGUAGUUAACAAGCAACAACAUCAUCCAUUGCAUUAAUAAUAUAAUUAUUAUACAAGUGUGUUCUGUCAAAUUUUGAUACACACUAAAGCAUAAAUCAAAAUGAAAGAUGAGUCUUGAACGAGCUCCAUCUUCUCUAAACCUUGCAUCGGUACCUGUCUAUAUUUGACCUGAGGAUACAAGUUAUUUUGAAAGAGAGUAUCAGCUUUAAAGCUGGUGAGAUCAUAAGUAUUUUAGUGUCUUAAUUUGUAUGUAUAUGAACUGUAAGUAUUGAGAUUGUAUAUGAACUGUAAGUAUAACAAUGUUUUGUAAAUCAACUGCAAAUGUUUGAAAAACCCUGGAAAUCCCUUUGAUUCCUACUAUUAUAUAAGGGUGUCUUCUACCAAGACCUAACUGCUCUGAAUGUAGUCUUCUACCAAGACCUAACUGCUCUGAAUGUUCGUUUCUUGUAAAAGUUUGUAAUUUUCCAAGUGUAACUAUCAUUAACAAAAUAUAGUUUUUAGAUUUAAUGUUUAACUGAAAAGAUCACUAAAUAUAUGUAAAGGGAAAAUUAAUGUAGUAAUGUAGUGUAGUGCUAUAAGAACUACUGUUGUGCUAACUAUGUAACACCAUAAAUUUAAAAACAAUUUUUCGCAUUUUAUAAAAACAUAAUUAAUUUAUUAUUCAUAAAAACAUCAUUGUUUGAAACUCAAAUUCAUAUCAUAAAACAAUCUCAAGAUCUCAUAACAUAAAAAUCCCGUGUGUGUACUGAUCAAGUCGGCGCCUUCCCGCGAUCCUCACUAGUACCUGAAACACAUAACACAAAACACUGUAAGCACGAAGCUUAGUGAGUUCCCCAAAAUACCAUAUAUAACACAUAUUAGCCACUCGAGGCUAUAACUCUGUGGGUCCGUGCACCCAAACUCUGUGAACCCUCAGGUUCUAUCUCUGUGAACCUUCAGGUUCUAACUCUGUAAACAUGCACAACAUAAAUCACAUAGAAUAAUGCAGUGCAACACAUAACGCAUAUAUAGCAUUCAAACACUGUAUCACAUAACUCUGAUUACCUACUCAAGGUAAAGUAUAGUGAGAAGACUCACCUCGGAUAUCUCAGUAAAUCUCUGACUCGGUAAACUCUGGUCUAGCCCCUGCCUAAUCACAUGAAAUAAAUACUCUAAUUAAUACAACCCUCAGGGCUAGGCUAAUCUCUCUCUCUCUCUCUAUACAUCCUCUAGGAAGGGUAAAAGACUAUCCUACCCUUCCGAUGACUCUAAGGUCCAAACAUUGACUAACCCUAAAAGUCAAUGAAGUCAACGGUCAACCUUGACCAAACUCGUCGAGUGCACAACUGUGACUCGGCGAGUCCACACGUUUUCUUCACUCUCCUAGUCCUCCUUCGACUUACUGAGUAAAUACUAAACUCUGUAAAUCAUCACAGAUCACACUCUGUGAAAUGUCCCGACCCAACUCGCCGAGCCCGGCUCCUGACUCGGCGAGUAUCAUCGUGCACUCUGUCCUCUAGAUUCCCUCUGACUCACCGAGUCACUUCCCCAAGUCAGUGAGUCACCAACUGUGUGAUUAUCAGGAAAACCCUCGUCCUACUCGCCGAGUCGGCUAUUGGACUCGGCGAGUUGAUGCCAUGCUCAAGCUGAACUGACCUCCUGAGGUCAGAUCCGCUCCUCUAAACCGUAGAUCCAGCUUCCCAAAGCAUUAUAAUCACGUAAAGCUAACGUCUUGGUGCUCAUGCAAAGGAUCAAAGACCUUAUUUGAAGAUAGGACCUCUAAAAUGACAUCCAAAGCUCAUAACCCCCAUUAACACUCAUAAAGCUCAAGGAAAAAGGGUCUAUGGACCUCUGUGGGUCCAAAUCUACAUCACCAACACGAGAGGGGACCAAUUACUCCGUAUGACCAUCCUCUAAAGGGUCUAAAAAGCCCUAACUCUUAGAAUUACACCAUAAACUGAAGAAGGGUCGAAUGAAUACCUCAAAAUGAAGUCCAUGAGCCCUGGAAUCACUGGAUUAGCACCCUCUCAGCCUCCUCNUUGUCUUGGUCCUCUUCUAUUUGCAAAAACACUAACAAUGAUCAAGAAAUGACUCCUUUCCUCUCACAAACGCUCUAGCUCACUUAGGGUUUCUCUCUGGGGUCCGGUAGCCGCAAAUAACGGCCAUAAGGCCCCUUAAAUAGGCCCCAAACCCGAGGAAUUAGGGUUCCAUUAAACAACGUGGACUCACUGAGUCCUUGGGGCGACUCGCCGAGUCCAGCCAUCCACCCGGAUAAUGAUUCAAUGAAUAAAUAUAAUAACUGAAAUUCUGGAUGUUACAAUUCUCCCGCACUUGAAACAGUCUUCGCCCUCGAAGACUCAUACCAGAAAUAGCUUUGGAUGCUGCUCAUGCAUCUCUCAUUCUGGAUCCCAAGUAAACUUGGAUCCUCUCCGAUGUUGCCACUGAACCUGCACCAGAGGCACCUCCUUGUUCCUUAGAACCUUGAUCUUCCGNCGCAUAGUUCAGACUCGCAUCCACCUAAAUAUCCUCUAACGACACUACCGCCGACUCGUCGGCUAUACACUUCCUCAACUGACACACAUGUACUGGGGCCCUAGCUUGCCUCUCUUCCUGAAUCGAAUCACUCCUUUCCAAGGAGAUACCUUCAGGAGAACAUAAUCACCGACCUGGAACUCAAGCUUGGAUCGUCGCGUAUCCGCAUAACUCUUCUGGCGACUCUAAGCGGUCAACAAUCUAUAUCUGACCUGCUGUAUCUGCUGUGUCGUAUGAAGCACAAUCUCCGUGCUACCCAUCACUUGUUGCCCCACCUCUCCCCAACAAAUGGGAGUCCGACACCUCCUCCUGUACAACAGCUCAAAGGGCAAAUACGUGUCCCAACUUCCGCCAAAAUCCAACACACAUGCUUGGAGCAUGUCCUCGAGCAUCUGAAUUGUCCGCUUGCUCUGACCGUCAGUCUGUGGGUGGUAUGCGGUACUAAAAUGCAGCCUCGUACCUAACUCCUCAUGGAAUGUCUUCCAAAAUCUGGAAGUGAAACGCACAUCUCGAUCUGACACAAUCGAGGUCGGCACCCCAUGCCGCGAUACCACCUCUCUCACAUAUAUCUCUGCUAACUUCUCCGCAGAAGAACUCUCACUAAUGGUGAGAAAGUGAGCGCUCUUUGUCAAGCGGUCUACUAUCACCCAAAUCGCAUCAACACCCCUCGCCGUUCUCGGCAAUUUGGUGAUAAAAUCCAUGGAUAUCUGCUCCCAUUUCCACUCUGGGACUUCCAGUGGUUGCAACUUACCAUGCGGUCUCUGAUGUUCGGCUUUAACCCUACGACAGGUUAGACACCUCUCAACAAACCACGCUACAUCUCUCUUCAUACAGGGCCACCAAUACUCCCUUUUAAGAUCCAGAAACAUCUUAGUGGCCCCGGGAUGGAUCGAGAAUCUCGAUCUAUGCGCCUCCUCCAUCAAGAUGGUACGCGUUCCUCCAACAAACGGUACCCAAAUCCGACCCUGGAAGGUCAUAAGCCCUCUGCUAUCGAUCACGAACUCUGACACCUGUUCGAUAACUCGUUCUCUCUUACGGUUCUCCGGUCUCACUGCCUCAGCCUAAGCCCCUCUGAUGGUGUCCAACACCGGAGUCAUCACCGUCAAUCUCAUACAAAUAUCCCGAAUCGGGGUGCUCUCUGCCCUACGACUCAGGGCAUCGGCUACCAUAUUAGCCUUGCCUGGGUGGUACAGAAUCUCACAAUCGUAAUCUUUUACUACGUCCAACCNUCAAAUACUUCAAACUCUUGUGGUCCGUGUAUAUCGUACACCGAACCCCAUACAGAUAAUGGCGCCAAAUCUUGAGGGCGAACACCACAGCCCCCAACUCUAGAUCGUGGGUGGGAUACCUUGCCUCAUGGGGCUUCAGCUGCCUCGAUGCGUACGCGAUCACAUGCCCCCUCUGCAUCAACACCGCGCCCAACCCAGAUAUCGAUGCGUCACAAUACACCACGAAGUCCUCCAUUCCCUCUGGAAGAGCCAACACCGGGGCUUCGCACAAUCUCUGGCGAAGAGUCUCAAAUGAGGCCUGCUGCUCUGGGCCCCAGCUGAACACCACACCCUUCCGGGUCAACCUGGUGAGAGGAACAACAAUCUUGGAGAAAUCCCUGAUGAACCUCCGAUAAUAGCCGGCCAACCCUAGAAAACUCCUGAUCUCAGAAGGAGAUUUCGGCACCUCCCAACUCAUCACCGCCUCGAUCUUGGCCGGAUCGACCAAAAUCCCCUUUUGGUUAACGAGGUGACCAAGGAACUGCACCUCCCGUAACCAAAAAUCGCACUUGGAGAAUUUGGCGUAAAGCCUCUCCGAUCUCAGCAUACUGAGGAUUUCUCGCAAAUGCUCCUCAUGCUGCUCCCUGGAUCUUGAAUACAUCAAAAUGUCGUCAAUGAACACAAUCACUGAUCGAUCCAGCAUCGGUCUGCAUACCCUGUUCAUGAGAUCAAUGAACGCUGCAGACACAUUGGUGAGGCCGAAUGGCAUCACCACAAACUCGUAAUGCCCAUAACGAGUCCUGAAUGCGGUCUUCUGGAUAUCCUCCUCGUGCACCCUCAUCUGAUGAUAUCCAGAUCUCAGAUCAAUCUUGGAAAACCAAGACGCUCCCUGCAGCUGAUCGAACAAAUCAUCGAUCCUCGGCAAAGGAUAACGGUUCUUGACCGUUAACUUGUUCAGCUCUCGAUAAUCUAUGCACAUUCGGUGCGAACCAUCCUUUUUCUUCACAAAAAGGAUUGGUGCUCCCCACGGCGAGCUGCUCGGCCGUAUAAACCCCUUCCCCAGCAGCUCCUGAAGCUGCGAGGAUAACUCCCGCAUCUCUGGAGGUGGAAGGCGAUAGGGCGCCUUGGCAAUAGGUGCUGCCCCAGGAAUCAAAUCAAUGCGAAACUCAACCUGCCUCUCGGGAGGCACACCCGGUAACUCCUCGGGAAAGAGAUCCGGGAAUACACGCACUAUCGAAACCUCCUCAACCGUACUCGAUCUCUCUGCACCAACUCUCGUAUCCAUCACAUACGCUACAAAACCACUACGACCCUACUGUAGACUCUGCCUCGCUCUAGCAUCCGAACAAAAUGCUGAAUCGGGACGGGUACCCUCGCCGUACACUGUAAGAACUCCCCCACUUGGGUCUCGUAUAGUCACCAGCUGCCGCUCGAAAUCAAUAACUGCUCCAAAUCUGCUCAACCAAUCCAUGCCUACGAUGACACAGACGGCCCCCAUCGCAAUCGGGACCAAAUCAAUAGGAAACUCUACACCAAAAAUCUCGAGUACACAUCCUCGAAUCACCUCCGUGGCAUACAUUUCUCUCUCGUCGACGAUGGAGACUCUCAGAGGUCGACUCAACGCCUCUCGACUAAUACUGAUGUGCUGACUAAAAGCCAACGAUAUAAAAGAUCGACUCGCACCCGAGUCAAAUAACACCAAAGCAGGUACAGAACUCACAAGAAAAGUACCUACGCAUAUCAUAAUAUAAGUACAAAAUCUCAAACAUUAAAAUAAAUACAUGAAAGAAUACAUACCAGCCACUACAUCGGGCGCUGCGCGGACCUCUUACGCAGUCAACUGGAAGGCUCUCCCCCGAGCCUUCGGCGUCUCGUUCUUCACCGGCCGACUAUCAGAGUCUCUAACAGCAGCAGGGGCAGACCCCUGAGAAGCUCCCUGUGCUGACCCUCAUAGUGCGGACACUCNCCGGUGUCCGGUCUGGUUGCAGUGAAAACAGACUGCAAACCUCUUGGGGCAUUCCUUGGCCAUAUGCCCCUCCUUACCACACUUGUAGCAAGAUCCAGCUCUACAAACUCCAUCAUGACCGUUUUCGCACUUUCCACAAGUGCGGCCCUUCUGGUUCCCUGCUCUGGAAUCAGUGGGCUUGGCCCGCUUGGUUGCCAACUGGGACUGUGUCGGUCGCCGAUCCCUCCCCUGAGACUCUGCUUCCUCCCUAGCCCGUGUCUCUACCUCGAUCUCCCUCUUUCGGGCAUUUGUCUGAAGCUAAGAAAAUGUCGGGUACGAGGAGUUCGCCACGAACUCCCGAAUAUAUCUCCUCAAAAUACUCAAAUAACGGCUCAUACGUGCCUGCUCAGUAGACACGUGCUCAGGGUAGAACAUCGCCCUCUCAUGAAACAUCAUGGUAAUAACCGUAACAGACUCUGUACCCUGCUUGAGGGUCAAAAACUCUUGUGCCAACCGAUACCGUUCCACCGAGGGAAUGUACUCAUCAUGAAACAUGGCGGUGAACCUCUCCCAGGUCACCGCAGCAAACUCUGCUGGAGAAUAGAGUGUUGUCGCGAACUUCCACCAGUCCUUUGCCCCCAGGUGAAGUUGGUUCAGCACAAACCGAACCCUCAAGUGCUCUGGGCACGAGCAUGUAUAGAAACACCCCUCAAUGUCAGAUACCCAUCUCAUCGCUGCAAUCGGAUCCUGCAUCCCAUCAAACUCUGGUGGCUUCGUGUUGCUGAACUCCCUGAACAACAACGAGUCACCCCCUUGCGGCCUAGCAGCAGCGACGGCUGCGGUGGCCGCUGCAACAGCAGCCUCAGAAAGAGCGGCAUAACGCUCAUCAAAAGUCUUAAUCUGCAUGGUCUUAAUAGACCCGAACAUCUCUGGUAUCUCUGCCCUGAUGGCUGCAGCCACCUCCUCAUAGAUGAUUCGGCGGAUCUCCUCAUCACUAGUCUCGCUGCUCUCUGGCGCAUGACGUGUCCUCACCAUGAUCUACCUCUGAAAUACAACAUACGAUAUAUUAGAAACUCAGUCGAGCAUACUCGCACUCGAUAACUCAUCCCUCCUUGAUCCCUGGCAUCCCGAAGAUUCUUACUUGAACUGUACACCGCCCCGGUGUUUUCAGUAGUACGGGCCCAAUACUACUGUCCACACCGCGUCAGUGUACACCCCAAGUCCUUCUCCUAGGAUCCUAAGUCCCAAGUACUCUAUUAUGCAUAAUCCACUCUCUAAUAGAUCUCUCAUAAAUUCCUCACUGCUACCUACUCACUCUCAAGCGUCUCAUAGCAGCUCACCUCCCCCUAGGCUAAGGCAUCACAAAUCAGGCCAUUCUAGUCCUAAUAAGAAUACCUAGCCCACUCUAGUACGAGAAUACAUCAUAUCAAUCUCAUAAGCAUAUAACAUAAGGGUAUUUUGGGAAAUCACCGUUUGGGCGCUGACUGAUCGUACACACGACUCUGCUCUGUGUUUUCCAAAAAAAUCUUUUACUCUUUUUAGAAAACUUGGUUCUCUUUUGAAAAUAUUUCUCAAAUCCUCAGUUUGAGUUCUAAUACCCUCGAAGGUGUACUCGAAUCCCUCAAACCAAGACUCUGAUACCAACUUGUAACACCGUAAAUUUCAAAACAAUUUUUCGCAUUUUAUAAUAACAUAAUUCAUUCAUUAUUUAUAAAAACAUCAUUGUUUAAAACUCAAUUCAUAACAUAUAUCAAUCCCAAGAUAACAUAACAUAAAAAUAUCGUGUGUGUAUUGAUCAAGUCGGCGCCUUCCNCCUCACUAGUACCUGAAACACAUAACACGAAACACUGUAAGCACAAAGCUUAGUGAGUUCCCCAAAAUACCAUAUAUAACACACAUUAGCCACUCGAUGCUAUAACUCUGUGGGUCCGUGCACCCAAACUCUGUGAACCCUCAUGUUCUAUCUCUAUGAACCUUCAGGUUCUAACUCUAUAAACAUGCACAACAUAAAUCACAUAGAAUAAUGAAGUGCAACACAUAACACAUAUAUUGCAUACAAACACUGUAUCGCAUAACUCCGAUUACCUACUCAAGGUAAAGUAUAGUGAGAAGACUCACCUCGGAUAUCUCAGUAAAUCUCGGACUCGGUAAACUCUGGUUUAGCCCCUGCCUAAUCACAUGAAAUAAAUACUCUAAUUAAUACAACCCUUAGGGCUAGGCUAAUCUCUCUCUCUAUUCAUCCUCUAGGAAGGGUAAAAUACUAUCCUACCCUUCCGAUGACUCUAAGGUCCAAACAUUGACUAAACUUAAAAGUCAACGAAGUCAACCCUUGACCAAACUCGCCGAGCGUACAACUGUGACUCGGCGAGUCCACACGUUUUCUUCACUCUCCUAGUCCUCCUUCGACUUACUGAGUCAAUCCUCAACUCUAAAAAUCAUCACAGAUGACACUCUGUAAAAUGUCCCGACCCAACUCGCCGAGUCCGACUCCUGACUCGAUGAGUACCAUCGUGCAGUCUGUCCUCUAGAUUCCCUCUGACUCACCAAGUCACUUCCCAAAGUCAGUGAGUCACCAACUGUGUGAUUAUCGGGAAAACCCUCGUCCUACUCGCCGAGUCGGCUAUUGGACUCAGCGAGUUCAUGCCAUGCUCAAGUUGAACCGACCUCCUGAGGUCAGAUCCGCUCCUCUAAACCGUAGAUCCAGCUUCCCAAAGCAUUAUAAUCACGUAAAGCUAACAUCUUGGUGCUCAUGCAAAGGCUCAAAGGCCUUAUUUGAAGAUAUGACCUCUAAAAUGACAUCCAAAGCUCAUAACCCCCAUUAACACUCAUAAAGCUCAAGGAAAAUGGGUCUCUGGACCUCUUUGGGUCCAGAUCUAUAGCACCAACACGAGAGGGGACCAAUUACUCUAUAUAACCAUCCUCUAAAGGGGCUAAAAAGCCCUAACUCUAAGAAUUACACCAUAAACUGAAGAAGGGUCGAAUGAAUACCUCAAAAUGACUCCAUUCCUCUCACAAACGCUCUAGCUCACUCAGGGUUUCUCUCUGGGGUCCGGUAGCCGCAAAUGACGGCCAUAAGGCCCCUUAAAUAGGCCCCAAACCCGAGGAAUUAGGGUUUCAUUAAACAGCAUGGACUCGCCGAGUCCUUGGGGCGACUCGCCGAGUCCAACCAUCCACCCGGAUAAUGAUUCGCGUCUCUACUCGGCGAGUCUACGCAUCAACUCGCCGAGUUCUUCCACAAAACUUGAAAUUCAACGAAUAAAUAUAAUACCUGAAAUUCCGGAUGUUACANNNNNNNNNNNNNNNNNNNNNNNNNNNNNNNNNNNNNNNNNNNNNNNNNNNNNNNNNNNNNNNAUGACGUUUGGCACCCGCAGACCUGCAGGUCCGGCUGUAGCUAGCAGCAAGGUGUAGGAUAGUCAAUCCAGUAUAGAUCUAUACGCAAAAUCACGCUCUCCCUCUAAGAGACUCUGGCUACAACUCGGGCCAUGACAUUGAAGGCAUGCUCCGAUACAGUGGAUCACAAUUAUGUCAACGUAUUUAUGUAUAUGUAAUGUACUGAAAUGUUCUACGUGUGCUAGCUGUAAUGUGUGUUCUCUCUCUAUCUAGCAAGUAUAGUAAUCUACUGUAAUGUUCUAGCUGUAAUGUAUGCUCUCUCUAUCUAGCAAGUAUAGUAAUGUACUGUAAUGUUCUAGAAAGUAUUGACUCAUGAAUGAACUGACUCAUUGUGUGAUAUCGCGUUCUAGUAAUAGUUCUAGUAUCUUCCUAAACUACCCAUAUGGUAGUUUACUAGUAAUCUAACUGGUACGUAUGGACAUGGAUGU
rnacentral:lncRNA from 1 species